rnacentral:rRNA from 1 species
GGAAUAUUGGACAAUGGGCGAAAGCCUGAUCCAGCCAUGCCGCGUGUGUGAAGAAGGCCUCCGGCUUGUAAAGCACUUUAAGUUGGGAGGAAGGGCAGUAAGCUAAUACCUUGCUGUUUUGACGUUACCGUCAGAAUAAGCACCGGCUAACUCUGUGCCAGCAGCCGCGGUAAUCCAGAGGGUGUAAGCGUUAAUCGGAAUUACUGGGCGUAAAGCGCGCGUAGGUGGUUUGUUAAGUUGGAUGUGAAAGCCCCGGGCUCAACCUGGGAACUGCAUCCAAAACUGGCAAGCUAGAGUACGGUAGAGGGUGGUGGAAUUUCCUGUGUAGCGGUGAAAUGCGUAGAUAUAGGAAGGAACACCAGUGGCGAAGGCGACCACCUGGACUGAUACUGACACUGGGGUGCGAAAGCGUGGGGAGCA